AUGCAGUCGAGGGGUAGAGCACUUUGGUUGUUGAGACCGGCGCACGGGUGCGUAAGGGGCCUUCUGCCUUCCACAGAGGGAUAGCCCAGAGAAACAGGGAUAAAUACCUCAUAGCAUGAUGACCCGGCAUCGGGAUAUGAUUAAAGUCACAACGGUGGAAGAUGAGCAUGCGUCCCAUUAGCUAGUUGGUAAGGUAACGGCUUACCAAGGCUACGAUGGGUAGGGGUCCUGAGAGGGAGAUCCCCCACACUGGUACUGAGACACGGACCAGACUCCUACGGGAGGCAGCAGUGAGGAAUAUUGGUCAAUGGGCGCAAGCCUGAACCAGCCAUGCCGCGUGCAGGAUGACGGUCCUAUGGAUUGUAAACUGCUUUUGUACGGGAAGAAACCCUCCUACGUGUAGGAGCUUGACGUUACCGUAAGAAUAAGGAUCGGCUAACUCCGUGCCAGCAGCCGCGGUAAUACGGAGGAUCCAAGCGUUAUCCGGAAUCAUUGGGUUUAAAGGGUCUGUAGGCGGUCUUGUAAGUCAGUGGUGAAAGCCCAUCGCUCAACGGUGGAACGGCCAUUGAUACUGCUGGACUUGAAUUAUUGGGAAGCAACUAGAAUAUGUAGUGUAGCGGUGAAAUGCUUAGAGAUUACAUGGAAUACCAAUUGCGAAGGCAGGUUGCUACCAAUGGAUUGACGCUGAUGGACGAAAGCGUGGGUAGCGAACAGGAUUAGAUAGCCUGGUAGUCCACGCCGUAAACGAUGGAUACUAGCUGUUGGGCGCAAGGUCAGUGGCUAAGCGAAAGUGAUAAGUAUCCCACCUGGGGAGUACGAACGCAAGUUUGAAACUCAAAGGAAUUGACGGGGGCCCGCACAAGCGGUGGAGCAUGUGGUUUAAUUCGAUGAUACGCGAGAAACCUUACCAAGACUUAAAUGGAACGACCGGUUUGGAAACAAGCCUUUCACAGACAGU
rnacentral:rRNA from 1 species